rnacentral:rRNA from 1 species
GAUGAACGCUGGCGGCGUGCCUAAUACAUGCAAGUCGAGCGAACGGACGAGAAUCUUUCUUCUCUGAUGUUAUCGGCUGACGUUUGAUUAACACGUUUAUAACCUACCUAUAAUACUUGUUUAACUUCGGGAAACCUUAUCUAAUACCGUAUAUUCUUUUUUACCUCUUUUUUCAAUAUUUUAUUACGUUCUUUCUUUCUCUUUUCGAUUUAUCCUCUCUGCAUUAGCUAGUUGUUAAGGUAACGUCUUACCAAGGCAACGAUGCAUAGCCGACCUGAGAGGGUGAUCGGACACACUGGAACGGAGACACGGUACAGACUACUACGGGAGGCAGCAGUAGGGAAUAUUCCGCAAUGGGCGAAAGCAUGACGGAGCAAAGCCGCGUGAGAGAUGAAGGUCUUCGGAUCGUAAAACUCUGUUAUGAGGGAAGAACAGAUGUGUAAGUAAAUGUGAACAGAGUGACGGUAACUAAUCAGAAAGCAACGGCUAACUACGUG